UCUGAAGGCACUGUAUGUACUGUACUGUCUAACACUGUUAAAAAGCCUGUAUUUUUAGUUUUUGAGUUAUUGAGCUACAACCAGGAUAUUAAAUUUCCCUUCCUCAACCCACUACCCACGCAGGAUACCGGCAGCCCACCCACCCACCGCCUGCCUGUCUCUCAGCCCUGGCCCAGCUCCACUCAAACUUUCCACAGUUGGGCAAGGGCUCUGUGGCGGUCGGUGCACGCAGCCUGCGUCAGCCACACCACAGCCUGGGGACCAGAGGCUGCCACAGGGGCGGAGCUAGGAGACAACAGCCUGACUCCAGGGGGCGGGCUAAGGCAUCAGCAUGGCGACGUCACACAUAUCUGAGGGGCCGACAUGGGAGAAGGGCCGGUCUAACACACAGGCCCUGCUGCAUAGUGUGGUUACUGCAGCCAGGCUAUUUAUAUGUGUCUCUUCUUCAGAGAAGGAAGCUGGACCUAUUGAAUCCAGAUGUGAGAGGACAGACAGAAGGCACAAGACAGAACAAGAGCUGGAGGAGACAGACUGGGCCAGAGUGGCAGCCUACUGUGUCUGAACAGGGAACACUCAGUCACAAAAAAACAGGUGUCACCUGUUUUCCCCAUUAUUCCCAGGACCCAUCCCUCCCCCCGUGUCAUCGAUGGCCAGCCACCAUACACUGUGAUGCCUCCUGAGGGUUUGACCACGGGGCAGGAGUUUCCAGUACCUGGUUGACUGGGAGGGUUAUGGCCCGGAGGAGAGGUGCUGGGUUCCCGCUAAAGACAUCCUGGACCCGGCCCUCAACGCUGACUUUCACCGCCGGCACCCCGG